rnacentral:rRNA from 1 species
UACAGAGGGGGCAAGCGUUAUUCGGAAUUAUUGGGCGUAAAGGGCGCGUAGGCGGCUUGGCAAGUGGAAGGUGAAAUCCCUCGGCUUAACCGAGGAACUGCCCUCCAAACUGCUUUGCUUGAGUCCGGGAGAGGUGAGUGGAAUUCCCAGUGUAGCGGUGAAAUGCGUAGAUAUUGGGAGGAACACCAGUGGCGAAGGCGGCUCACUGGACCGGAACUGACGCUGAGGCGCGAAAGCGUGGGGAGCAAACGGG